rnacentral:rRNA from 1 species
AUUGAACGCUGGCGGCAUGCUUUACACAUGCAAGUCGAACGGCAGCGCGGGCUUCGGCCUGGCGGCGAGUGGCGAACGGGUGAGUAAUACAUCGGAACGUGCCCAGUAGUGGGGGAUAGCUCGGCGAAAGCCGGAUUAAUACCGCAUACGACCUGAGGGUGAAAGCGGGGGAUCUUCGGACCUCGCGCUAUUGGAGCGGCCGAUGGCAGAUUAGCUAGUUGGUGGGGUAAAGGCCUACCAAGGCGACGAUCUGUAGCUGGUCUGAGAGGACGACCAGCCACACUGGGACUGAGACACGGCCCAGACGCCUACGGGAGGCAGCAGUGGGGAAUUUUGGACAAUGGGCGAAAGCCUGAUCCAGCAAUGCGGCGUGUGUGAUGAAGGCCUUCGGGUUGUAAAGCACUUUUGGCGGGAACGAAAAGGACUGUGCCAAUACCACGGUUCGAUGACGGUACCCGCAGAAUAAGCACCGGCGAACUACGU